rnacentral:rRNA from 1 species
ACGUAGGGGGCGAGCGUUGUCCGGAAUUAUUGGGCGUAAAGCGUGCGUAGGCGGUUUGACAAGUCUGGCGUUGAAGGCCACAGCUUAACUGUGGUUUGGCGGUGGAAACUGUCAGACUUGAGUUUAGGAGGGGGAGGUGGAAUUCCAGGUGUAGGGGUGAAAUCUGUAGAUAUCUGGAUGAACACCGGUGGCGAAGGCGACCACCUGGCCCGAGACUGACGCUGAGGCACGAAAGCGUGGGGAGCGAACAG